CCAUCCCUCUCAGGCAGCCCUUGUCCCCUGCUGGCUCCAGAAGGGUAGCAUAGGCCCAGGAGCUGCAGACAUGGACAGAAACGAGGUCCACCGGGCUCAGGGUGUGGGAAGCUCUGUGGUAACUUCCUGAGUGGUUGUCUUCAAAUGGCCCAGGAAGCGCAGGAUCCCAGUGUAUGCAGCAGCUGUCCCGACCUGGUGUCCAGAGUGACCCAGCAGCUCCAUGCAGCAGGCUCCAGAGUUUAGCCACAGAGUUUAGACCGGUGGGCCCCAGGCAGCGGUUGCAUCAGCCUCACUGGUGCACAGGCAAAUGGAGUCAGACCCAACACCCAACUGUUCUCUCAGCUCCGCCCCACCUCUGACCCUCCCUAGCUCCUCAUCCGUACCUAGACACCCAGGAACCCACAUCUUCAACCCUCACAGCAGCUGUUUCAACGCCCUGUAGGCCAUUCUUAGCAAGGCAGCCCAAGUAUAUCCUUGGUCCCUUCAGGAGCUUCUGUGACACUCAGAGAACCACAGUCCUUAUCACGGCCUCUGGGGCAGUACUUAAUGUGGGCCUGUGUGUCCUUGUCCAAACAGACACACUGACAGACUCCAUCCACUCUGCGAGUCAGCCUCCUUCCCUGACACGAUGCUCCUUGCUGCUCCACAGUGCCAUGUGCUUCCUUUAUUAAGCCACCUGUGCCCUCCACCCAUAAUGCCCUGCCGUCACCAGCCACCCGUAGGCUUCACUACUUGGGUCCACAGAACAGGCUGUACUAAGCAGACUGAGCAAGGCAAGGUGAGUUUCAGAUGACAAGAUGAUACCAGCUAAGCCAGGGUUUGGCAGUGCCGGACUCAUGUACUUUCAGCAUUUCUUUCCACAGUCACCUCUUCAGGUGACACUGGGGGACAGAGACUUGUAGUCAGGUACGUGAGCUCUCAGCACUCAGGAAGUCCAGCCAGGGACCCAUCUGAGGGACCGAGUUUGUGACCAGGUUACUGGGUACAUUCUCUGCAGAAUGGCAGGGCAAUAACCAGCUCUGGCCAGCCACUGGCCCAGAUGGACUCGUCCCCAGUCUCCAGCCCAGGUGUCCCCUCCCCAGACGGCUGCUCGUGUCCUUUCUCCCUCCCACGUUUCUCCCCUGGCAUUUUCUGCAGGGACAGUGCAGAGACCUUGCACAUCUUGUUGUGCAUGGCCAGCAUCCCGGCGUGCAGACAGAAAGAGGCCACCCUGGCCAUUAAGGAGUGGGCAUCACUGUGGCCUGUAAGGAUGGAUGGCUAGGGUAGAUAUGCCCCGGGACAAUGAGGGGCUUCCAGCAUACUCUUCAUCCUGCGCAGGGGGGAAAGCAAGACGGGGCAGCCACUGUCAAGCCUAAGCAGGGCUGGGUUUGCGUGUUUAUGAGUACACGUGUUUGCCUGCAUGCUGGGUUUGUGCAGAACAUCUGUACAGCACCCACAGUGCCAGAAGAGGGCUCCGGAGCCCCUGUGACUGGAGUUGUAAGAUGGUUGUGAGCUGUCGCAUGGGCUCUGGAAACAAAACCCAAGUCCUCUGGAAGAGCAGCCAGUUCUCCUACCCAGCCUGGAGCUGCACCUCAGAAGUACUCAUCUGCCUGGUGCUGCCCCCAACCAUGUGAAAAUGAAACUGUCUCAGAGACCUGUGUGGAGACACAUCAGUCCAUCAGCAGACACACCUUCCCCCUCUGGACCCCAGUGUCUCAAUCUGACAGGAAGCCAAUGCGCCGCUGGCCACCCUGGGGGAGGGCAGAAGCCCAAUGGCGGCCUCAAAGCCUCAGCGUUAACUGCAUGCUUUUUAAGUUUUAUGUGCUGCAUCUGUGUGUGUGUGUGUGUGUGUGUGUGUGUGUGUGUGUGUGUCCCUGUGAUGUAUGCAUGCAUGGCUAUACACGUUUGUGGAGGCCUGAGGUUGACACUGUCUUCUUCAAUUGCUCCCCACUUUUUUUAUUUAAUAAUAUUAUUAAUAAAUAUUAUUAUUUGUAAUAGUA